rnacentral:rRNA from 1 species
GACAGAGGAUGCAAGCGUUAUCCGGAAUGAUUGGGCGUAAAGCGUCUGUAGGUGGCUUUUUAAGUCCGCCGUCAAAUCCCAGGGCUCAACCCUGGACAGGCGGUGGAAACUACCAAGCUGGAGUACGGUAGGGGCAGAGGGAAUUUCCGGUGGAGCGGUGAAAUGCGUAGAGAUCGGAAAGAACACCAAGGCGGAGGACGACUCUGCUGGGCCGACACUGACACUGAGAGACGAAAGCUAGGGGAGCGAAUGGG